rnacentral:rRNA from 1 species
GCUCCUUGGGUGGCGAGUGGCGGACGGGUGAGGAAUACAUCGGAAUCUACUCUGUCGUGGGGGAUAACGUAGGGAAACUUACGCUAAUACCGCAUACGACCUACGGGUGAAAGCAGGGGAUCUUCGGACCUUGCGCGAUUGAAUGAGCCGAUGUCGGAUUAGCUAGUUGGCGGGGUAAAGGCCCACCAAGGCGACGAUCCGUAGCUGGUCUGAGAGGAUGAUCAGCCACACUGGAACUGAGACACGGUCCAGACUCCUACGGGAGGCAGCAGUGGGGAAUAUUGGACAAUGGGCGCAAGCCUGAUCCAGCCAUACCGCGUGGGUGAAGAAGGCCUUCGGGUUGUAAAGCCCUUUUGUUGGGAAAGAAAUCCAGCUGGCUAAUACCCGGUUGGGAUGACGGUACCCAAAGAAUAAGCACCGGCUAACUUCGUGCCAGCAGCCGCGGUAAUACGAAGGGUGCAAGCGUUACUCGGAAUUACUGGGCGUAAAGCGUGCGUAGGUGGUCGUUUAAGUCCGUUGUGAAAGCCCUGGGCUCAACCUGGGAACUGCAGUGGAUACUG